UCACUGUCGCUACCGCAACAUCCCACCACCAAUUCAUCCAAUGACUACCUUAACCUCAUCAUAUCCAUCUCUCCCUCCACUUGAAUCCUUAUAUUUGUCUAAUUUAGUUUGAUGCAUCAUCCCCUUCACGAUCCUCUUCUACAUCAAAGUUUACAAACCCACGAUCAUUGUAAACGACAACCACCACCGAUUACUACCUAGUGAGCCCCCUUUUCCUCUUCUGAUCGGAGACGUCUUCACUACCGCCGUUAGCCAGGAAACCACUAAUAUAUCUCCGCCAAAUCAUCUGCUCAUAACUGGAUUUUGCAAUCGAAGUUAGUGUUUAGAUCUUGGUACAAUCAGUUUCAAUUAAUUCCUUCGUUUCAUUCAUUUGAUCACAAUCGAUUUUAGGCUGUGGUGACCAGGACGAAUUGAAAGCUGAUCGCUGACCUUCAAAUACCUUUAUACGGUCUAAAAUAUUUCUUUUGGCUAUGUAACGACAAUGGGAUGAAGCAUAGGUACAAUCCAAAUUGAUGUGGAAGAUUGUAUAAAAAAAGCUACAUUCGAUAUACUUCUAUUAUUUAAUCCAAUUGUUAAACUUAUUCAAUAGAGGACUCUAUUUUGUC